rnacentral:rRNA from 1 species
AGAGUUUGAUCAUGGCUCAGAUUGAACGCUGGCGGCAGGCCUAACACAUGCAAGUCGAACGGUAACAGGAAACAGCUUGCUGUUUCGCUGACGAGUGGCGGACGGGUGAGUAAUGUCUGGGAAACUGCCUGAUGGGGGGGGAUAACUACUGGAAACGGUAGCUAAUACCGCAUAACGUCGCAAGACCAAAGAGGGGGACCUUCGGGCCUCUUGCCAUCGGAUGUGCCCAGAUGGGAUUAGCUUGUUGGUGGGGUAACGGCUCACCAAGGCGACGAUCCCUAGCUGGUCUGAGAGGAUGACCAGCCACACUGGAACUGAGACACGGUCCAGACUCCUACGGGAGGCAGCAGUGGGGAAUAUUGCACAAUGGGCGCAAGCCUGAUGCAGCCAUGCCGCGUGUAUGAAGAAGGCCUUCGGGUUGUAAAGUACUUUCAGCGGGGAGGAAGGGAGUAAAGUUAAUACCUUUACUCAUUGACGUUACCCGCAGAAGAAGCACCGGCUAACUCCGUGCCAGCAGCCGCGGUAAUACGGAGGGUGCAAGCGUUAAUCGGAAUUACUGGGCGUAAAGCGCACGCAGGCGGUUUGUUAAGUCAGAUGUGAAAUCCCCGGGCUCAACCUGGGAACUGCAUCUGAUACUGGCAAGCUUGAGUCUCGUAGAGGGGGGUAGAAUUCCAGGUGUAGCGGUGAAAUGCGUAGAGAUCUGGAGGAAUACCGGUGGCGAAGGCGGCCCCCUGGACGAAGACUGACGCUCAGGUGCGAAAGCGUGGGGAGCAAACAGGAUUAGAUACCCUGGUAGUCCACGCCGUAAACGAUGUCGACUUGGAGGUUGUGCCCUUGAGGCGUGGCUUCCGGAGCUAACGCGUUAAGUCGACCGCCUGGGGAGUACGGCCGCAAGGUUAAAACUCAAAUGAAUUGACGGGGGCCCGCACAAGCGGUGGAGCAUGUGGUUUAAUUCGAUGCAACGCGAAGAACCUUACCUGGUCUUGACAUCCACGGAACUUUCCAGAGAUGGAUUGGUGCCUUCGGGAACCGUGAGACAGGUGCUGCAUGGCUGUCGUCAGCUCGUGUUGUGAAAUGUUGGGUUAAGUCCCGCAACGAGCGCAACCCUUAUCCUUUGUUGCCAGCGGUCCGGCCGGGAACUCAAAGGAGACUGCCAGUGAUAAACUGGAGGAAGGUGGGGAUGACGUCAAGUCAUCAUGGCCCUUACGACCAGGGCUACACACGUGCUACAAUGGCGCAUACAAAGAGAAGCGACCUCGCGAGAGCAAGCGGACCUCAUAAAGUGCGUCGUAGUCCGGAUUGGAGUCUGCAACUCGACUCCAUGAAGUCGGAAUCGCUAGUAAUCGUGGAUCAGAAUGCCACGGUGAAUACGUUCCCGGGCCUUGUACACACCGCCCGUCACACCAUGGGAGUGGGUUGCAAAAGAAGUAGGUAGCUUAACCUUCGGGAGGGCGCUUACCACUUUGUGAUUCAUGACUGGGGUGAAGUCGUAACAAGGUAACCGUAGGGGAACCUGCGGUUGGAUCACCU